UUGAUCAAAGGGAUCAUAUUAAUUUAGUUCUGUUGUCUCUUUCUUCUUUGUUUUUCCUAUACUCCUUCCGUUCUUCGAUCUGUUCAUUUCAUCUCUCUUUCUCAUUUGCUCAUCUAUCUCAUCUCUGUUUUUAUCCUUUGCUCAUCUUUUCUCUCCUCUUUUUUUUUCCAAGAAAGUGAAGAGGACCAGUGCUGUGUCGGGUCUGUCCGUGAGCUUCGUCUCCGUUGACCUCCUAACCACACCACCACCACCAUCACCAUCUAUCCCAUCCGCUCGUCACCACCACCAUCAUCUCAUCACUCGUCGUCACCACCACUGGUGGACAAGGCAUAAGAGCUUGAUGGAGAAGGUGGACAAUGCAAAUGCGACCGGAGUAAGCGAAUAGAGGUUCUGGAGGCUGGAGUAAGAGAACAGAGGCUUGAGGUGGAUACUCUGGAGGCUGGAGUCUGGAGGCGGAGGAUUAGGGUUACAAAGCUGGAGGCGGAGGAUUAGGGUUACAAAGCUGAAGGCGGAGGCUCUGGGAGCGGCUUAGGUUUUAGGUUUUAGGACCUUAGGUUAAUUAGUUUUUGGUUUACUGUUUUUAAAUUAGUUUUUGGUUUAAUGUUUUUAAUUAGUUUUUGGUUUAAUGUUUUCCUUAAUUAUUUGUAUACGGAUUCUAAUUAAUAAAUAAAAUUUAAUUUUAGUUCUGAA